rnacentral:lncRNA from 1 species
UUACCGUCUCAAUUCAUUAUUUGUCUCUACUCACAUUGCUUUCAUGAAAGAAACAAAAAAGAAAAAAAAUGAAACAGGUAUAAAUGCCCAGGGCCUCAGAGAGGUAGAAGACCGGGAUCUCCAAGAUCUUCCGGAGCUACAAGUAACCGAACUGAGACAUAGAGACCUCAGGGAGGUGGAAGACCGGGAUCCCCAAGAUCUCCCGGCACGAACACCAAUCGAACUGAGACAUAGAGACCUCAGGGAGGUGGAAGACCGGGAUCCCCAAGAUCUCCUGGCACCAACACCAACCGAACUGAGACAUAGAGACCUCAGGGAGGUGGAAGACCGGGAUCCCCAAGAUCUCCCGGCACCAACAUAAACCUAACUGAGACAUCGAGACCUCAGGGAGGUAGAACACCAGGAUCCCCAAGAUCUCCUAGCAUAACAAGACUGGGAUCCCCAAGAUCUCCCAGUGCGAGA